rnacentral:rRNA from 1 species
GAGUAACACGUGAAGAACCUGCCUUACAGAGGGGGACAACAGCUGGAAACGGCUGCUAAUACCGCAUAACGCUAGAGUGUGGCAUCACAUUUUAGCCAAAAGAGCAAUCUGCUGUAAGAUGGCUUCGCGUCCGAUUAGACAGUUGGCGGGGUAACGGCCCACCAAAUCUACGAUCGGUAGCCGGACUGAGAGGUUGAACGGCCACAUUGGGACUGAGACACGGCCCAG